rnacentral:lncRNA from 1 species
CAAUCUCAAAAUUGGACUAGAAGUUUAUUUGGCCAUAUUUUUAAUUAUUUCCUUUUUUUACAAGUAAUUAAACAUAUUUAUGUUUAUACAUAAGUUAUAAUAAUAAUAAUAAUAAUAGUUUAUAACAUAGGCACAGGGUCAUAAAUGUUAGUGUAAGUGAGUGUGUGUGUGUGUGUGUGUGGUGGGGCAGACAUACAGACAUUUCUAUUAAUCACAGAAUUUGGCAGAUACAUUGUGUGUUUUGAAUUAUUGACCUUGGAAGAAUGAAAGUCAAAACUGGGCCCAAUGGGAUUUGAACUCAGAAUGUAAAAGAAAAGACAGAACUAAAUACAGUAAGAAGUGUUAUUACCAUUGCUCCAGUAAUACUGCCAGUCACCGUCACCGUUCUGUAUGGAAGCAAUCCUCUGUGUGUGUGUAUGUGUGUGUGUGUGAGAGAGAGAGAGAGAGAGAGAGAGAGCAUGUGCGUAUAUGAGUGUAUGUAUGAGCGUGAUUGUGUAUAUGUGUCUGUGUUAAUGCAGAAGAGCAUGGGUGAAUAUGAGUGUUUGAGUAUGUGUGUAUGUGUGAGUGGAUUUGGUUGAUGGAAACCGAAAGAAGCCCGUCGUAUAUGUGCGUGUGUGUGAGAGAGAGCAUGUGCGUAUAUGAGUGUAUGAGCAUGUGUGUGUGUGUAUGCGUGUAUUUGUGUGUAAGAACAUGUGUAUGUAUGUGUGUAUGAACUUGUUUGUAUGUAUGUGCAUAGUGUGUGUAUCUGCAUGUGUUUGUAUGUGUAUGUACCUGCUUGUGCAUGUGUGUGCUUGAGUAUGUACAUACUUGCGUGAGUGAAUCUGCAUGCAUGUAUGCGUGUGUGAGCAUGUGCAUGAAUGUAUGCAUGCAUGCAUAUGUGUUUGUGCAUAUGUGUAUGUGUGUGUGUGUUUAUUGCUUCUUUCAUCGUUAAUGGCACAAACAUGUUUCAACAUACUGCUACAGCCUGGCCACUGAUAUUCCACUCAGAUCUUUGUUCCAAAGGAAUUUAUUACAAUCCUUUCUAUUAAUAGGCAUAAAACCUGAAAUUUGAGUGGAGGAGGUAAGUCGAUUGCAUCAACCCCAGUGCAUAACUGGUAUUCAUUUCAUCGACUCCGAAAGGAUGAAAGGCAAAGUCAAUCUCAGUGGAAUUUGAACUCAGAAUGUAAAGACACACAAAACGCUGCUAAGCAUUAUGUCCAGUGUGCUAACGGUCGUGCCAGCUUGUCACAUAUAAUAAUAAUAAUUAUUUCUGCUCUAGGCCAUGAAAAUUUUUUGGGGCAAGGGGGCUGGUCAAUUACAUCGACCUCGAAAGGAUGAAAGGCAAAGUCGACCUUGGUGGAAUUUGAACUCAGAACGUAGCAGCAGACGAAAUACCACUAAGCAUUUUGCCUGGUGUGCUAAUUAUUCUGCCGGCUCAACACCCUAAUAAUAAUAAUAAUAAUAACGAUAAUAAUAAUAAUACUUUCUACUAAAGGUACAAGGCCUGAAAAUUUGGGCUGGGGGCUAGUCGAUUAUAUUGACUCCUGUAUGUAACUGGUACUUAUUUCAAAGACCCCGAAAAGACGAAAGGCAAAGUUGACCUUGGUGGAAUUUGAACUCAGAAUGUAGCAGCAGACGAAAUACCACUUAGCAUUUUGCCUGGUGUGCUAAUGAUCCAGCCAGCUCACCACCUUCAUAAUAAUAAUAAUAAUAAUGGUUUCAAAUUUUGGCACAAGGCCAGGAAUAUUGAGGGAGGGUGUGCUAGUUGAUUACAUCGACCCUAGUACGCAACAGGUACUUAAUCUAUCGAUCCCUGAAAGGAUAAAUGGCAGUUCUUUGUUA